rnacentral:lncRNA from 1 species
UUUUUUUUUUUUUUUUUUUUGCCACACCCAGGCAUGUGGAAGUUCCUGGGCCAGGGAUGGAACCCAUGCCACAGUGAUGACCCAAGCCACUGCAGUGACAAUGCCAGAUCCUUAACCUGCUGUGCCACAAGAGAACUCUGCUAGUCUCUAUCUUUAAGGCGCCUCUCUUGUGGCCCCUUGCCUUUGAGAAAUGCUUCAUCAGGAAUGUUAGGAAAACAGGAACACACAUUCUCACAUUGUGUUGGAGCAAGACCUCCCCCCACCACUGCAGCCUGCACACCAGUGCAGCUGCUUGGCCUCCCCUUCUGUUUUCCCCUACCGCCAACUACCAGCCUCCUUCCAAGUCAGCCUGGAGCUGUCAAUGCAGAAGGCAAACCACAGGAACAUCUCCCUGUCCCCAGAGCCAGGGACCUCUUAGGACUCUAUGAUCAAGAGGCCUGGCAGAAGAAGAAAGGCAGUGAAAUCCUCGCUCUAAACUGAAUGCCUGUUCAGAAAUGGUGGCUCCGGAGUUCCCAUUGUGGUGCAGCAGAAACGAAUCCAACUAGGAACCAUGAGGUUUCAGGUUCAAUCCCUGGCCUCACUCAAUGGGUUAAGGAUCUGGCGUUGCCGACCUGGCAUUGCUGUGGGUGUGGUGUAGGCCAGCAGCUGCAGCUCUGAUUGGACCCCUAGGCUGGGAACCUCCAUAUGCCUCAUGGGUGCAGCCUUAAAAAGCACACACACACACACACACACACACACACACACACACAAGAAAAGAAAGAAAGAAAGAAAAAAGAAAUGGUGGCUCCAGACUAACUCUCACAGAGGCCCAGGGUAGGUUAAGAUGUUGCUGAGGAAGAGGUGGCAGAGUCAGGGGUUUGGUCUGACCCUCUCAGCUCCACUGCUAUUGCCAAAGUCUCCAGAUGGCUCUUCGAGAACUCCACAAGCCCUAUGUCUACAAGUGAAAUUACCUCCUUCUCCAAAGACACCUCUCUGGUUCCCAUCCCUACAACAGCAUCUGCUGCCUCUGUCCUCCCCUUGGGCGCUAACCUACAUCUACUGGGCCACCAAAUGCCAUUCAGCCAGCCUUUCCAUCUUCCCACCUGUCAAAUCCGUCAACUUCUGUCAACGCCACAUCCAUCAUCAUCCUCGGGUUUAGGUUCCUGCUUGGCCCUGCUGUCCUCUAUACCACAUCCUGGAGGCCUUUUCCCAGGGCUAAGCUCCUCCCUUGCCCAAUAUCCUUGCCCUUGAGGUAGAAUUCAGACUCCUUUUCAGUCUUCAAAGCCCUCCCGUCUUUGCCCCUCAUCUCCCACCCUACCACUUGCUCACUUUUAUUCCUCCGUAUCUCUGACUAGGAUGCUCUUUUGUACCACUGGGACCUAUACGGAGAGGUGAGAGGCAAACUGGACUCUUGAGGGGUCCAAGGAUGGGAAUGAGCCCCACGUCACAGGAGGUGUGCACAGUGGCUGGAGAAGCCACUCUUAGGGAGGAGUUCCAGCAAAGGACAGGGGUCUUGGCUCAGGGGACUUAUAGGACCUUCUGACUCUGUGACUGAAUUGGCUUCUUAGGAAUCACGGCUGGCAACUGCCCUCUUUGUAGGUCCCUGUCAGUGGAGCCAGGGCCCGGAGCUUCAGGAAUAUUGAAUUUGAGUUCAUUCCUGAUGCCAGCAUCAGCCAUGUGCUCCAGACACUUCGGUCCUCAGAGAGAAGGUGGGGGGACACAGCUCCCUGUGGGGUGUCCUGUGCUUGUGGGAGCAGUGGGUGGCUCUUGCAACGUGGUUUAACUAAAAGAGAGCGGAUCUUAUAGGAGGAGGCCACAGUCCACGAAGUCUGUCCUCUUAGUGUAGAGGUGGGUAAUCUGAGGUGCAGAGGGAGGAAAGGACUUGUCUAAGAUCACAGAGUGAGCUGGAGACAGGCCCAGAGCCAGAGCCCAGGUCACCUGACUUCCCUCCAAGGCUGUUCCCUCAAAAGAACAGAGCCAUGGACCCCACUGCGUUAAAACCCCUUGGAGGCGCAACUAGACCUCUUAAGAAGGCAGAACUCCACAGCUUUAAUUAAUCUUGUCAAAUGGAAAUUAUUGAUAAUGCCUGUCUUCAAAAUCUCAUUUAAAAAAUACAUAUGUAUAUAAUCAUUAUCAUAUAUGCAUAUAAAUAAUAAUUAUUAUUUUUUUGCUCCUUAAAUGACCCAGCCUCCCAAAUUGCUAGGAUGAAUACAAACUCUGCUGUGGGUCACUUGCCUUACGGAAGACAGCCUGAGAAAAGGACCAUAAUGGCUCUAGGUUAUUUUUGUCAACAUAGCUUUGUUUCCACUGGGGCUCUACUCUCCUCCACUGUGUGUGAUUUGGCCGAAGCUGCCAGGCAGUCCUCUGUACAGGCCUAACCAACCACAGUAACUCUUCCCUCUGGCAGCAGUGAUUUGUCCAAGAGAUGGGCAUGUGAUCCAGAUCUCAUCUGGACCAAUCAGAGAGUUUCCCUGGGAUUUGUAUACUGACACAGAGAAACUCCCUCUUUGUGCAACAAUGUAAGCCUAGAACUUUUAACAGUUCUUUUCUUUACCUGCAUAGAGGAAGCCCAACUGCAAAGGGAGAUAAUGAGGCCAAUAUAUAGUUGGAAGCAAAUUCAGGAGAUGGAGAAAGAGAAUCCUGAUACCUUGGUUAAGUCCUGGAUUCAGCCAUGCCUGCAGUCAGUGCCAUCCCUGGAGGUACCCAGUCCCAUAGUUCAAUUAGUUCUCUUUAGUCUUUACUUUAGAUUGAAUUGAGAUUCUUUUCUUUUCACCUUAAAGGGUCCUAAAACAAAUACAAGGUCCUUUCUUUAUCUAUCACAGCUUAUUUCAUGUAAGAGUUAGCAUGCACGCAGCCCUCUGCUCUGAGCUAUUUUGGGUACAAUGCCCACACAUACAUUUUCUUGCCACUAGAGAAGAAAGUGCUGGCUGCAGGACCCUGUGUCCCUUACUUCCUGCCUCUCCUGCAUAUGCCCUAAAGACCAUGUGGUUUCUCCCUGUGGGCAGAGGAGAGCUGACCACUGAAACCCCUCUCUGAGCUCCAGGAGGCCAGAAGCUCUGAAAUCUUUUUAGGUUACAUAUGGAGCCAUCUCCAGGGGGGAAGAAGGAGCCCCUCUCACCCAAGUUUUCUGAUCACCUCAUUCUCCUAUUCCAAAACCUUCACUGACCCUCCGCUACCAGUGGGGGAAAUCCAAACUCCUUACCCUGGCAUACAAGUUUCUUCAAUGGUCUGCCCUAGAUUCUGCAUCCUCUACUCUUUUCUACCUCUGGGUCUUUGCUUGUACUCUUCUUCCUCCCUCCUCUAGGAUAUCCACCUGCGAGAGUCCCUCCUGCCCAUUUAGGUCUAGUCCAAGCACCAUCUCUUAUAGGAAGCCUUCCUCAUUUCCCUAGUAACAGUGAAAAUUGUUCUGGGACCUCCUCUAGUAUGUUAUCUGCCUCUCAUUUGGGGCCCAUCAUAUAGUCUUUCUCUCAUUAAAUUUAUUGUUUCUUCUGCUUGACUUGUUCCCCUUCCUAUACCAUGCUCAAACCAAAUAACCCAUAAUGGCUCUUAAUUCACCCUUUAGUUCUAAACUCAGAGCUUACUUUCUCAGAGAAAACUUCCUUGGCUGUGUCCUGCUGAUAAACUCUGUUCCGCCAGGUUUCUUCUGUGGUCACAGAACACUAAGAUCUUCUUCAACUGCUUUUUGUUUUUUGCCUUUUCUAGGGCCGCUCCCUUGGCAUAUGGAGGUUCCCAGGCUAGAUAAUGCUCCUGUAAAAAGGAUCUCCAAAUCUCAGUGCCUUAAAAGAACAAAAUUUUAUUUGUCUCAAGCCAUAUGUCCACUGUGGGUCAGCAGUGGAGGCUCUGUUCAUUUUAGACACUCAGAGAUAUAGGGAGAUGGAGUAGCUUUCACCUUAAGCAUCAUUGGUUAAUGCUAGAGGAAAAAGAGAGUUCUGGAGAGUCUUACAUCAAUAGUAGUUCAAUGCUCUGGUACAGAAGUGAUACAUAUCAUGUUAUCACUCACUCAUUGGCUGAAACCAUUCACAUGGACCCAUCUAACCAUAAGGUAAUUAGGAAGCACCUAAUUACCUGUACCCAGAAGGUGGGAGAACCAAAAGUACUUGGCAAAUAGCACGAAUAAAUACCACGCAAGUUAAAUUUCAUCCCAUGCCAACAAGAAAAAAAAAUAAAGCCAAUUCUUGAGUUUCUUCUUAGUUCUGGAAUAAUACAACUUUAUGGGUUGAAGGGAUUUUUGCAACUGAUUAUUCAUGCUUUUAUGAAGGAAAAAAAUACUGAAAUCAAAACAAAAAACCUUGAGACCUGUGCAAAGACUGAUUUUUACCAAUAUCAAGAGUUUGGGAUGCACUGAAGGGAAAAUUCUAGCUAGUGCAGUAAGAUAAGAAAAAUAAAUGGCAAACAGAUUGCAAAGGAAGAAUUAAAAUUGUAUCCAUUUAUAGAUGACAUACUGACAUAGGAGAUCCUAAAGAAUCUAUAAAGAAAAAAAAAACUCCUAGAAAUAAUAAAUAAAUUUAGGAUAUCACAAUAUACAUAAAAAUCAAUUGUACUUCUAUGCAUUAAGAGUGAACAACUAGAAAAUGAUAUCAAAAAUAAACAUAAUUU